GACAGAGGGUGCAAACGUUGUUCGGAAUUACUGGGCGUAAAGCGCGUGUAGGCGGCCAUCUAAGUCGGGCGUGAAAUCCCACGGCUCAACCGUGGAAGUGCACUCGAAACUGGAUGGCUAGAGUCCUGGAGAGGAAGGUGGAAUGCUUGGUGUAGAGGUGAAAUUCGUAGAUAUCAAGCGGAACACCGGUGGCGAAGGCGGCCUUCUGGGACAGUGACUGACGGCUGAGACGCGAAAAGCGUGGGGGAGCAAACAGGGAUUAGAAAACCCCCG
rnacentral:rRNA from 1 species